AACGAACGCUGGCGGCAGGCUUAACACAUGCAAGUCGAACGGGCACUUCGGUGUCAGUGGCAGACGGGUGAGUAACACGUGGGAACAUACCCUUCGGUUCGGAACAACGCCGGGAAAUUGGCGCUAAUACCGGAUACGGCCUCUGGGCGAAAGAUUGAUCGCCGAAAGGAUUGGCCCGCGUUCGAUUAGCUUGAUGGAGCGGGUAACGGCCCACCAUGGCGACGAUCGAUAGCUGGUCUGAGAGGACGGCCAGCCCCACUGGGACUGAGACACGGCCCAGACUCCGCCGGGAGGCAGCAUUGGGGAAUAUUGGACAAUGGGCGCAAGCCUGAUCCAGCCAUGCCGCGUGAGUGAUGACGGCCUUAGGGUUGUAAAGCUCUUUCGCGCACGACGAUAAUGACGGUAGCGCGAGAAGAAGCCCCGGCUAACUUCGUGCCAGCCGCCGCGGUAAGAC
rnacentral:rRNA from 1 species